GACGAACCGAGCGACCGUUAUUCGGAAUCACUGGGCUUAAAGAGCGCGCAGGCGGUCGUUCAAGUCGCGUGUGAAAGCCCCCGGCUCAACUGGGGAGGGUCACGCGAUACUGAUCGACUCGAAGGCAGGAGAGGGAAGUGGAAUUCCCGGUGUAGUGGUGAAAUGCGUAGAUAUCGGGAGGAACACCAGUGGCGAAGGCGACUUCCUGGCCUGUUCUUGACGCUGAGGCGCGAAAGCUAGGGUAGCAAACGGG
rnacentral:rRNA from 1 species